rnacentral:rRNA from 1 species
UACAGAGGUCUCGAGCGUUAGGCGGAAUCACUGGGCUUAAAGCGUGUGUAGGCGGAUCGUUAAGUACCUUGUGAAAUCCCACGGCUUAACCGUGGAACUGCUUGGUAUACUGGCGGUCUUGAGCCAGCUAGGGGCUACCGGAACAAAUGGUGGAGCGGUGAAAUGCGUAGAUAUCAUUUGGAACGCCAAUGGUGAAAACAGGUAGCUGGGGCUGUGCUGACGGCUGAGACACGGAAAGCCAGGGGAGCAAACGGG